rnacentral:rRNA from 1 species
GACGAACGCUGGCGGCGUGCCUAACACAUGCAAGUCGAGCGGGGUCCAUCCAGUGGCAACACUGGGGAAGACCUAGCGGCGAACGGGUGAGUAACACGUGAGGAACUUGCCCCGGAGUACGGGAUAACCCGAGGAAACUCGAGCUAAUACCGUAUGCCCUCUUCUGGUCGCCUGGCCGGAUGAGGAAAGAUUUAUCGCUCCGGGAGAGCCUCGGGGCCUAUCAGCUAGUGGGUGGGGUAAUGGCCCACCAAGGCAUCGGCGGGUAGCUGGUCUGAGAGGACGAUCAGCCACACUGGGACUGAGACACGGCCCAGACUCCUACGGGAGGCAGCAGUGGGGAAUCUUGCGCAAUGGGCGAAAGCCUGACGCAGCAACGCCGCGUGCGGGAUGAAGGCCUUCGGGUUGUAAACCGCUUUCAGCAGGGAUGAAAUUGACGGUACCUGCAGAAGAAGCCCCGGCCAACUACGUGCCAGCCGCCGCAGUAAGAC